GGUGAGGUGGCUCAGUGGUUAGGAGCACCUGACUGCUGUUCCGAAGGUCCUGAGUUCAAAUCCCCAGCAACCA
rnacentral:tRNA from 1 species